rnacentral:misc_RNA from 1 species
AACACAGAAAUUUUAUUUUUCAUUAAAAAAAAAAGAGUAGAACUUUGCAAGUCACAAGAAAUAAACAUCAAACUGUUUCUAGCUCAAAAUUUAUUGUGGGAAUUCGUCAUUUCAAUUCCAGAUGCGAAUUUUUCAGUUUCAAACUAUCCAUCUGCACUUUCUCAACUACAAAGGCGUGCUUGAUUGUUACUGAAGUCACAAACAAAUACGAGUAUACUGCCAUGUGAAACUCAUAACACUUUUUAGUAUCAUUGGACUAU